rnacentral:rRNA from 1 species
AGUGAACGCUGGCGGUGGGCCUAACACAUGCAAGUCGAACGGCAGCACAGUAAGAGCUUGCUCUUACGGGUGGCGAGUGGCGGACGGGUGAGGAAUACAUCGGAAUCUACUUUUUCGUGGGGGAUAACGUAGGGAAACUUACGCUAAUACCGCAUACGACCUACGGGUGAAAGCAGGGGAUCUUCGGACCUUGCGCGAUUGAAUGAGCCGAUGUCGGAUUAGCUAGUUGGCGGGGUAAAGGCCCACCAAGGCGACGAUCCGUAGCUGGUCUGAGAGGAUGAUCAGCCACACUGGAACUGAGACACGGUCCAGACUCCUACGGAAGGCAGCAGUGGGGAAUAUUGGACAAUGGGCGCAAGCCUGAUCCAGCCAUACCGCGUGGGUGAAGAAGGCCUUCGGGUUGUAAAGCCCUUUUGUUGGGAAAGAAAAGCAGCAGGUUAAUACCCCGCUGUUCUGACGGUACCCAAAGAAUAAGCACCGGCUAACUUCGUG